CCUACGGGGUGCUGCAGUGAGGAAUAUUGGUCAAUGGACGCAAGUCUGAACCAGCCAUGCCGCGUGCAGGAAGACGGCUCUAUGAGUUGUAAACUGCUUUUGUACGAGGGUAAACGCAGAUACGCGUAUCUGUCUGAAAGUAUCGUACGAAUAAGGAUCGGCUAACUCCGUGCCAGCAGCCGCGGUAAUACGGAGGAUUCAAGCGUUAUCCGGAUUUAUUGGGUUUAAAGGGUGCGUAGGCGGUCGGAUAAGUUAGAGGUGAAAUCCCGAGGCUCAACUUCGGAAUUGCCUCUGAUACUGGUCGGCGAGAGAGUAGGUGCGGUAGGCGGAAUGUAUGGUGUAGCGGUGAAAUGCUUAGAGAUCAUACAGAACACCGAUUGCGAAGGCAGCUUACCAGGCUACUACUGACGUGGAGGCACGAAAGCGUGGGGAGCAAACAGGAUUAGAUACCCGGGUAGUC
rnacentral:rRNA from 1 species